rnacentral:lncRNA from 1 species
GGGAACUCAAAAUAGGUGUGUGGCCUCUAGUCACCAAAUGGCUUCUUGGCUCUGCUUUAAAUUUAGGCCCACUCAGCCACUUAAGAUCCAUCUUGAAGGACUGGCUCUUUCAGGGUCACAUUUGUUCAUGCAAACUAUUGAUAUUGCAUGCUAUUUACCACUAUUUCAGAUGAAAUUGCCACAGGAUAUAAAUCAUUGGACUAUUUAAGAGGCUUUAAUCCGAUAUGACAUAGACAACACAUAGACCAAGAGGUGACAUAGACAACACACAGACCAAGCCAGGCAGUGAGGCCUCAGAAGAAACACAACCUGUUGACACCUUGAUCCUAGACUUCUAGCCUCUGGAACAGGCAAAGGCUUUUGGAAGCUGCCACAGUUUCAUUCCCAGGUCCUCCACUUACCAGCAAUGAGACUUCAUGUGACCUCAGGUGCUCCUGCUCACCUUCAUAUUUUUUUAAGUAUACAUCUGUGUAUCAUGAACAAUUCUUAUCUCAAAAUUUAAAAAUGAAGUACACAUUAUAACAGCAUUACAAUCAUGAACACAUGUGCUAUGUUCUCUGGGAGACAAAGAGAAACUAUUUACCCUACUUUCCAGAAAAGGACACUGACACUUAGAGGGAACACAAGUGUUGAAACCAGGUCUGAAAUCCAAGACCCAAGAUGCUUUUUUGCUGCUAAAGCAUUCAUUAUCCAGACUCUGCCUGCAUGAAGGUGAUGCAUAGGAAAUGAUGAACCUGGUAAAAGCUUCCAGUCUUAAAAAUACUCCAAGUAAGGCUCUUUAAGGCUUCUGGUAGGGACAUUUUAUUUUUUGGUAAAGCCACAAUAGAUAGAAAUGCCAUAAAAACAAACAUGUAAACAAGGUAUCAGAACUUUGGUUCACUGAAACAUCUCACACCUAAAACACCUGAGGUACAAAGGCACCUUGCUAGGCGCUAGACAGCUAACUCUGCUGCAGCCACUUUGAUCCUAGCCUUGGGAUCUAACCAGAGUACGCUGGUCGUAACUGGAAAACCAACAGAGGCCAGGUGCGGUGGCUCAUACCUGCAAUCCCAGCACUUUGGGAGGCCGAGGCGGGUGGAUCACGUGAGGUCACGAGUUCGAGACCAGCCUGACCAACAUGGUAAAACCUCAUCUCUACUAAAGAAAAUACAACAUGGGGCAUGUGCCUCUGUAAUCCCAGCCACCUGGGAGGCUGAGGCAGGAAAAUCUCAUCAACCCGGGAGGCGGAGGUUACAGUGAGCUGAGAUCGUGCCACUGCUCUCCAGGCUGGAUGAGUGAGACUCUGUCUCAAAAAAAAAAAAAAAAAAAGGUAGAUGAGUUUUAAAGGCACAGUGCUUUUGGCCUUCUUCAGUCCAACAGCACAAGGCACACAAAGUAUCAAUGCCAUAUGAAGUCCUACUAUUAGACCUCAGGCCUCUAAUAGCACCGCUACUGUUUGUCACUGUAACAAUCCUAAAGUACAACCUGACUCCUGAGCUGCUCCUGAUGUAGUAAAGGUUCCACCCUGUGUAGUCCUGCAUG